rnacentral:rRNA from 1 species
GGUACUCAGUUCGGAUCGCAGUCUGCAACUCGACUGCGUGAAGGUGGAGUCGCUAGUAAUCGCGGAUCAGCAACGCCGCGGUGAAUGCGUUCCCGGGCCUUGUACACACCGCCCGUCAAGUCAUGAAAGUGGGCAGCACCCGAAGACGGUGGCCUAACCCUUGUGGGGGGAGCCGUCUAAGGUGAGGCUCGUGAUUGGGACUAAGUCGUAACAAGGUACC